rnacentral:rRNA from 1 species
GCCCAGAGAUGGGUAGCCCCCUUUAGGUGGUCCGGUGGGACAGGUGGUGCAUGGUUGUCGUCAGCUCGUGUCGUGAGAUGUUGGGUUAAGUCCCGCAACGAGCGCAACCCUCGUCCUAUGUUGCCCAGCGGGUCAUGCCGGGGACUCAUGGGAGACUGCCGGGGUCAACUCGGAGGAAGUGGGGAUGACGUCAAAUCAUCAUGCCCCUUAUGUCUUGGGCUUCACGCAUGCUACAAUGGCCGGUACAAAGGGCUGCGAUACCGCGAGGUGGAGCGAAUACCCAGAAAGCCGGUCUCAGUUCGGAUUGGGGUCUGCAACUCGACCCCAUGAAGUCGGAGUCGCUAGUAAUCGCAGAUCAGCAACGCUGCGGUGAAUACGUUCCCGGGCCUU